GACGAACGCUGGCGGCGUGCUUAACACAUGCAAGUCGAACGCUGAAGCUCAGCUUUUGUUGGGUGGAUGAGUGGCGAACGGGUGAGUAACACGUGAGUAACCUGCCCCCUUCUUUGGGAUAACGCCCGGAAACGGGUGCUAAUACUGGAUAUUCACUGGUCUUCGCAUGGGGGUUGGUGGAAAGGGUUUUUCUGGUGGGGGAUGGGCUCGCGGCCUAUCAGCUUGUUGGUGGGGUGAUGGCCUACCAAGGCUUUGACGGGUAGCCGGCCUGAGAGGGUGACCGGUCACAUUGGGACUGAGAUACGGCCCAGACUCCUACGGGAGGCAGCAGUGGGGAAUAUUGCACAAUGGGCGCAAGCCUGAUGCAGCGACGCCGCGUGAGGGAUGGAGGCCUUCGGGUUGUGAACCUCUUUCGCUCAUGGUCAAGCCGCAACAAUGGUUGUGGUGAGGGCAGUGGGUAAAGAAGCGCCGGCUAACUACGUG
rnacentral:rRNA from 1 species